rfam:Myotis davidii contig158449, whole genome shotgun sequence.
GGCAGUUCUCAGGUGACGCACCCCGGAAUCAGGCUCCCUCCUCUCUGGUUCUGGGUGUGUCACCUGAGAACCGCA